CCUGAAGUGGGGGAUAACCAUUGGAAACGAUGGCUAAUACCGCAUAAUACCUACGGGUCAAAGAGGGGGACCUUCGGGCCUCUCGCGUCAGGAUAUGCCUAGGUGGGAUUAGCUAGUUGGUGAGGUAAUGGCUCACCAAGGCGACGAUCCCUAGCUGGUCUGAGAGGAUGAUCAGCCACACUGGAACUGAGACACGGUCCAGACUCCUACGGGAGGCAGCAGUGGGGAAUAUUGCACAAUGGGCGCAAGCCUGAUGCAGCCAUGCCGCGUGUGUGAAGAAGGCCUUCGGGUUGUAAAGCACUUUCAGUCGUGAGGAAGGUAGUGUAGUUAAUAGCUGCAUUAUUUGACGUUAGCGACAGAAGAAGCACCGGCUAACUCCGUGCCAGCAGCCGCGGUAAUACGGAGGGUGCGAGCGUUAAUCGGAAUUACUGGGCGUAAAGCGCAUGCAGGUGGUUUGUUAAGUCAGAUGUGAAAGCCCGGGGCUCAACCUCGGAAUAGCACUUGAAACUGGCAGACUAGAGUACUGUAGAGGGGGGUAGAAUUUCAGGUGUAGCGGUGAAAUGCGUAGAGAUCUGAAGGAAUACCGGUGGCGAAGGCGGCCCCCUGGACAGAUACUGACACUCAGAUGCGAAAGCGUGGGGAGCAAACAGGAUUAGAUACCCUGGUAGUCCACGCCGUAAACGAUGUCUACUUGGAGGUUGUGGCCUUGAGCCGUGGCUUUCGGAGCUAACGCGUUAAGUAGACCGCCUGGGGAGUACGGUCGCAAGAUUAAAACUCAAAUGAAUUGACGGGGGCCCGCACAAGCGGUGGAGCAUGUGGUUUAAUUCGAUGCAACGCGAAGAACCUUACCUACUCUUGACAUCCAGAGAACUUUCCAGAGAUGGAUUGGUGCCUUCGGGAACUCUGAGACAGGUGCUGCAUGGCUGUCGUCAGCUCGUGUUGUGAAAUGUUGGGUUAAGUCCCGCAACGAGCGCAACCCUUAUCCUUGUUUGCCAGCACUUCGGGUGGGAACUCCAGGGAGACUGCCGGUGAUAAACCGGAGGAAGGUGGGGACGACGU
rnacentral:rRNA from 1 species